UAAAUAGGAUGUUAAUCUCCCAUCUGAAUCACCGCUAAUGGUCGACCUGUCGAAAUCACAUGUUCCGUUCCGACCAAAUGUUACGUUCCAGAUAAGAAUAAACCCUAGCAAAGAAAAUUCUUUGUGAACCUUUCAAUUCCUUCAUCGAGCCCAGCACGAAAGCCCAGAAAGUCAACUUCGAUGUCUUGGACCCAAUUUGACCCAUUCAGAUAUCAACCAUGAUGGAUCUAGAAAACAGAUUUAAAAUAACAGAAUUUUUUGAGUAAAAAUGAAGGAAAUUCAGUUAUUUUUAGGCUUAAUGAUGGAAUUUUAUUCAUUUUGGGUCCGCGGUUUCCUUACCUAUUAUUUUUGUUUUAAAUUCCAUCAUCAUUCUGUCA
rnacentral:lncRNA from 1 species